GACGAACGCUGGCGUCGUGCUUAACACAUGCAAGUCGAACGGAAAGGCCCUGCUUUUGUGGGGUGCUCGAGUGGCGAACGGGUGAGUAACACGUGAGUAACCUGCCCUUGACUUUGGGAUAACUUCAGGAAACUGGGGCUAAUACCGGAUAGGAGCUCCUGCUGCAUGGUGGGGGUUGGAAAGUUUCGGCGGUUGGGGAUGGACUCGCGGCUUAUCAGCUUGUUGGUGGGGUAGUGGCUUACCAAGGCUUUGACGGGUAGCCGGCCUGAGAGGGUGACCGGCCACAUUGGGACUGAGAUACGGCCCAGACUCCUACGGGAGGCAGCAGUGGGGAAUAUUGCACAAUGGGCGGAAGCCUGAUGCAGCAACGCCGCGUGCGGGAUGACGGCCUUCGGGUUGUAAACCGCUUUCGCCUGUGACGAAGCGUGAGUGACGGUAAUGGGUAAAGAAGCACCGGCUAACUACGUGCCAGCAGCCGCGGUGAUACGUAGGGUGCGAGCGUUGUCCGGAUUUAUUGGGCGUAAAGGGCUCGUAGGUGGUUGAUCGCGUCGGAAGUGUAAUCUUGGGGCUUAACCCUGAGCGUGCUUUCGAUACGGGUUGACUUGAGGAAGGUAGGGGAGAAUGGAAUUCCAGGUGGAGCGGUGGAAUGCGCAGAUAUCAGGAGGAACACCAGUGGCGAAGGCGGUUCUCUGGGCCUUUCCUGACGCUGAGGAGCGAAAGCGUGGGGAGCGAACAGGCUUAGAUACCCUGGUAGUCCACGCUGUAAACGGUGGGUACUAGGUGUGGGGUCCAUUCCACGGGUUCCGUGCCGUAGCUAACGCUUUAAGUACCCCGCCUGGGGAGUACGGCCGCAAGGCUAAAACUCAAAGGAAUUGACGGGGCCCCGCACAAGCGGCGGAGCAUGCGGAUUAAUUCGAUGCAACGCGUAGAACCUUACCUGGGUUUGACAUGGAUCGGGAGUGCUCAGAGAUGGGUGUGCCUCCUUUGGGGUCGGUUCACAGGUGGUGCAUGCCUGUCGUCAGCUCGUGUCGUGAGAUGUUGGGUUAAGUCCCGCAACGAGCGCAACCCUUGUUCACUGUUGCCAGCACGUUAUGGUGGGGACUCAGUGGAGACCGCCGGGGUCAACUCGGAGGAAGGUGGGGAUGACGUCAAGUCCUCAUGCCCCUUAUGUCCAGGGCUUCACGCAUGCUACAAUGGCUGGUACAGAGAGUGGCGAGCCUGUGAGGGUGAGCGAAUCUCGGAAAGCCGGUCUCAGUUCGGAUUGGGGUCUGCAACUCGACCUCAUGAAGUCGGAGUCGCUAGUAAUCGCAGAUCAGCAACGCUGCGGUGAAUACGUUCCCGGG
rnacentral:rRNA from 1 species